UUGUUGGCAAACACGUAUAUAUGUUCAACGGUAGCACGUUGUUACACGCGCCGACUCAAUUCCGUGGCAUUACGGGCUCUGUCCGUCAUCCAGCGCCGUCAAAACUUGUCGUCGGUCACUUCCCGAUGGAAUCUUCCGUCCGAAUCGUUGUCGUCGGCGACGUCCAUGAUGAUUGGAACCUUGAAGAAGAUAGGAAGGCUCUUCAACUCUUGAAGCCAGAUUUGGUGCUCUUUACAG
rnacentral:misc_RNA from 1 species